GUGAGUUCCAUCUCUUAGAGAGACUGUUGUUGAAGAGAGCAUUCAAAGCCUUGCUGAAGUCAAUGUAAAUAAUAUCCAUGUGCUCCCUUCAUCUGUCCACCAUUUUUUCCGUUACAGAAGGCUAUCGGAUUGUUAUUGCAGUGUUCAUCUUGGAAAUAGAACAACAGUUACUGUGAAGCUAGAUUUGUAAACCUGAAGUAAUGGUCUGUUUUCUUCUACAAGAGACUCUCACUUUAAGUGACAGAGCAUAAGAACUGGGAAGAACAAGCAUAUUCACAUGUGAAUAGAGACCUGGUAAUCAACGGUUGGACUGGAUGAUCUUAGAGAUAAUUGAGCAAAUUUGUAGUCAAAAGUAUUUCAGAGUCAUCAACACAAGGCAGGUAAGUCCUGAACAUUUCGUUCAUCCUGUUUGGAUAGAUGUAACAGAUAAUGGAAUUGAUGUGCUGGUUAGAAAUGAACUAUGGUGCAUGUCAUAUAAAUAGAUAUAUGGUUUGCAGACUUUUUUCUGUUACUGGUCUAAAUCUAGAGAUAUACUAGCUGUUACCUUUUUACUGAGGUCAUUCCAGAAGUAGUGUCUCCUCUUUAUUUCCAUGGAAACUACAACAGAUGCAAAGAGCAGAAUAACAUUGUUUGAUAGACCAAAUUCUUGGCUACCAAGCACUAUUUUUCAACAUAGUCGCAACUAUUAGCUGGUUCAUGCAAAUGAGCUGAUCAGAAUACUCUUCAUUUCAUGAUAUGAUA
rnacentral:lncRNA from 1 species